rnacentral:rRNA from 1 species
GUGGGGAAUCUUCCACAAUGGACGAAAGUCUGAUGGAGCAACGCCGCGUGAGUGAAGAAGGGUUUCGGCUCGUAAAGCUCUGUUGUCGGGGACGAAUGUGCAGUAUUUGAAUAAAGUACUGUAAUGACGGUACCUGACGAGGAAGCCACGGCUAACUACGUGCCAGCAGCCGCGGUAAUACGUAGGUGGCAAGCGUUGUCCGGAAUUAUUGGGCGUAAAGGGAGCGCAGGCGGGAAGGUAAGUCGGUCUUAAAAGUGCGGGGCUCAACCCCGUGAUGGGAUCGAAACUAUCUUUCUUGAGUGCAGGAGAGGAAAGUGGAAUUCCUAGUGUAGCGGUGAAAUGCGUAGAUAUUAGGAGGAACACCAGUGGCGAAGGCGACUUUCUGGACUGUAACUGACGCUGAGGCUCGAAAGCCAGGGGAGCGAACGGGAUUAGAAACCCUGGUAGUCC